UACGAGGGGGGCAAGCGUUGUUCGGAAUUAUUGGGCGUAAAGGGCGCGUAGGCGGUGCGGUAAGUCACCUGUGAAAUCUCUGGGCUCAACUCAGAGUCUGCAGGCGAAACUGCCGUGCUGGAGUAUGGGAGAGGUGCGUGGAAUUCCCGGUGUAGCGGUGAAAUGCGUAGAUAUCGUAAGGAAGACCAGUGGCGAAGGCGGGUCUCUGGACAGUUCCUGACGCUGAGGCACGAAGGUCAGGGGAGCAAACGGG
rnacentral:rRNA from 1 species